CUGUCAAGAUGUCCAAUGAGCCAACACUGGGAAAGAUGGUGAGGCAGAACUAGAGGGGCAGCAAGAGCAGAGCAGCCCCAGGAACAGAAACUAGUCCCAGGACACACUCAGCCCUGAGCCUAGACCCAGAGCCACUUGGCUUCUAUCCCUGGGAGCAGGAUUGCUCCAGGGAAUGGAGCUCCAGAAGCACUCCAGAGUAGGGUGCAUCUGGGUCUCUCUCCCCUGCCUGAAUCUCCCUGAGCCCCUUGGAGGCCCCUCUGCUCCCACACAGACAACUGGAAGCAGGAGCUGACAAAGUUCAUCAGCCCUGACCAGCUGCCCGUGGAGUUUGGGGGCACCAUGACUGACCCCGAUGGCAACCCCAAGUGCCUGACCAAGGUACAGGAGCCCAGAGGAUGGGGAGGGAGGGGAGACCUGCAUGGCCUGGUUCCCGCUCACCCAGCCUCACCCACAGAUCAACUACGGGGGCGGGCGAGGUGCCCAGGAGCUACUUCCUGCGAGAGCAGGUGAGGAUGCAAUACGAGCACAAGGUGUCUGUGGGCCGAGGCUCCUCCCAGCAGGUGGAGAAUGAGAUCCUGUUCCCAGGCUGUGUGCUCAGGGGGCAGUUUGCAUCGGAUGGUGGGGACAUCGGCUUUGGGAUUUUCCUGAAGACCAAGAUGGGGGAGUGGCAGAGAGCCAGGGAGAUGAUGGAGGUGCUGCCCAGCCAGCGAUACAAUGCCCACCUGGUGCCAGAAGAUGGGAGCCUCACCUGCCUCAAGGCCGGCAUCUGUGUUAGGAGGAAACAGCACCACCUAGAGGUGGGUGGGGCAGGACCCUCAAAGCACAUCUGGUCUGACUGGGUAAGGACCCCUGGCUCUGAAAGGCACAGUGUGGUGCUGCUCUGGGCUAUCAGUACUGGCAGUGGCUC
rnacentral:lncRNA from 1 species